CUCUAAUGCUAAUUCUAUUUACCUGACUGUUGGUAGGGCACCACUGCUCCAGGUAUUGGCGCCUGUAUUCCAGGAGGCUGUGGUGGGUAUACUUGGGUAGGUUUAUCUGAAGGUACGCCAGAUCGCUCUAUUGCUAACUCUAUCUCUUCUUUGGUAAGGCCU